rnacentral:lncRNA from 1 species
AAAAGUUAAAUUAUACAUUCUAUCAAGUCUAAAAACACUUUAUAUUAAUAACACCAUCCAAAAACAGUUGUAUCCAACAAUUAACACAUCCAAAGUAAUUAAAAAAAGUUAACUCGAGCAAAUGCUUUAAAUUUUACAAGCUAUGAAGCCGUCAAAUCUUGUAGUGCAAGACUUCUCCCAUAUUCUCAGUAAAAUUCCAGUAGAUAAAUUCCUAUUCUCAACAAAUACCCAGCAAAACUCCUAAAUCCAGCAGUUUCUCUCAACCUGCAGGUGCAACACCAAUUGACUAUAGCCAAUAGUAUCAUUAUAAAGAAUUGUCUGUUAAAGUAAAACUUUCAAGUUUCUGAUGUAACUUUAAUUAAUUCUUUGCGGCAAUAAAAUGUGGAACCAAAAGGGUACCCAUAAAGGCAGCUAACUUUCCUUCAAAGCUUAGGCAUAUCUGCUGUACGGCCAAGGCGGAUGUACGGUACAGCAGGUUAUUGAUUUAUUUUCAUAUUUCAUUGUUAAAUUUUUUUAUUAUGUCAUUCACUAUAAGAAAAAUGAUAAUAGAUGACUGACACUAACUAAUUAAUUCCGUUAUAUCAUAAGAGUAUGACAGGGUUGUGAUAAAAUUAUUAUCUAUCAAAUGAUUAAUGAUGUAUUUGUGAUAUAAUUUGUGUUUAUCAAGAAUUUAUGAUAGGAUAGUGAUAAAAAUAUACUUUAUCAAAAACUUUGUGAUAGAAUUUUAACAUUGACCGUGUUUGACNGAAAGACUACUGGGAAUAAUUGAUGACACUAAAUGAGAGGCGUUGGAUCAGAUCAUCGCGGCCGCAAAUUAAUGAGAGACAAUAAGAUAUUUAGGGUUUGCUUUGAAGAGAGAGAGAAGAGAGAAGAGAGGAGAGAGGUGGUUUUGGUAUCGUAUUGGUUGUUUGUCCGAUUGGGGAUGAGGUUUGAGAAAAUUUCAAUGUCUUUUCCUUUUUUAGAAUGACCCAAGAUAUUGCAAAUUUCAUUCUCAAAAUACUUAAAAACCUUUGGCAGCUUGAAUCAUUUUGCAGUUUCAAAAGAGAAUAAGGGGUCAUGAAUAUGAUGCACCCAAUGAAGAAUUAAGGUGAACAUCUUUACAAUAACAGUGAAGCAGUAACAAUUAAAAUAUUCCAAAUAGCUUAAGAAACCACACUUGUUUUCUAUGUCACCUAACAUAACUCAUAAACUACUAAAUUUAAAUGAGAGUUACCCAAAGGCACAAUGAAGACCAGGGAGUUACAGAAAAUAGUUUACAAUUGUCGGAAAACUGAGAUGCAAGAACAAGACAGAAAGCUGAGUCUCGUAUCUUAUUCAGUGAAUACCUUUUUACAACAGCUUAACUGUCUAUUAUAUGCUUUUUCAGUGAAUACCUUUGUAAUACUCCUACAAAGAACCCAAAAACAACUCCAGCGAAUGUCGUAACUAUUAGCAAGUUUUUGUAAAUACGCUCUAGAAAAUAUCAACCACAGUAACAAUGUUUUUCCUCUUUCUUCCAAAGCACUGAUUAUUCUUUUGGCUAAAACAAACACUAUCAACAACUUUGCUUAAAAAAGCUACUCAAUUUUUAAUUUCUAGUACAAUUAUAAUUCUUGAGAUAAAUUUCAAAUACUUGGAUAAUAUCAAUUAUUUUUGGGUAUCAUUGAAUAGAAAAGAGUGUUAAACAUAUGUGCAAAAGGAAGAGACAGGUGUUUAAAGACGUGAAAUAAAGAGGACAAAAAGUUGGGAAUUAGGAUUGCAUGCACAUUGAAGAAACUAACAGAAUCAUAGAGGCACUAAAAACAGAAAGCCAAAGAGUAAAAAAUAAAAAUUUAUUCCAUAUAAAAAUCCAAAGCCAAAUCAAGUUAAUAAGUUCCUGCAAUAACUACAUAUAUCGAAUAUAGAAUACAAGAAUAAUAAGACACAAAACAAAUCAACGAGCUUACUUAUAAUAUGAGCUCCAGGUAUAAACAGAGACAUUACAUUACCUUACAAAUGUUGGUUGCCGUACUCUAAUUCCUUGCAGUUUUGGGGCCAAAUAACAACGUUAAUCUCUGGACAUGUUGCAUAGAUAACAUGACAAUUACAAUCCACUUAUGAAAGUGUUAAUUAAAAACCUUUUCAUGUAGUCACUUUAUCAAAGAUGUAGGUUCAACCUACAAAACUUAAAAAUUAAAAUGAAAGAUUCAACAGAAUAUGCCACAAAAUAAAAACUAAGGCAAUUCUUUUUCUUUAAUGCAUUCCAUCAAACACCUAGUGGGCUUCGUUAGAAACUAUUUCGUCUAAUUUUUUUUCAGUCCAGAAAAUACCAAAUUAGCCCCAAAAAAGAAAAGACUGCUGAAUAAUAUCAUCAAAAUGCAAAGUUCAUACGUUCAAGAUGCAUUCGGCAUAGACAUAAGCACUUGAAUGUACAUGAACAUUUAAUAGCUUGAGCUUUAGCAUGUCAGUAGAGAUAAUUUGAGAAACAACCAUGAAUCCAGCCCAAAAAUCAGAAAAAAAAGGAAAAAAUUGACAAAAUUUAGAAGACCUAACAACUUAAUCAAUUUAAAAUCUAUUUGCAAUCUCACGUAUUUCUCUGAGAAUCUAAAUUCAAAUCCACCAAAAUGGAAAUCGGUAGCAUAAUCUCAAAACAAAAAUCAACAUAUAUGAAAAUGAAUUUACUCGAUCUUCUAUUUUGAAAAGCAAUGCAAGUCCUAUGAACGGAAAAUUUACCUCAGAGCAGCGGCGGCUUGGCCUGGCUUUGAACACUAUUUGAACACUAUUUGAACGGAAAAUUUGCGCGUGCAUCGUCGUCGUAGUCGUCGUCAGUGUUCUAACGACAGCAAGAACACUAUUUGAACAACGGCAAAGAUGCGGGAUUGAUUUCUAGGGUUUGGCAAGCGUGUUGUUUCACAGUGUUAGUUGAUGAGUGGCAUGCGUUAUGUGGUGAGCAAUAAGUGAUUAAGUGAGUUCGGUGACAUGAGAAAUUUUU